rnacentral:rRNA from 1 species
CAGGAUUCCCCUAGUAACGGCGAGUGAAGCGGGAAAAGCUCAAAUUUAAAAUCUGGCUGUCUUAGAUAGUCCGAGUUGUAAUCUGGAGAAGUGUUUUCUACGCUGGACCGUGUACAAGUCUCUUGGAAUAGAGCGUCAUAGAGGGKGAGAAUCCCGUCUUUGACACGGACUACCAGGGUUAUAUGAUACACUCUCGAAGAGUCGAGUUGUUUGGGAAUGCAGCUCAAAAUGGGUGGUAAAUUCCAUCUAAAGCUAAAUAUAGGCGAGAGACCGAUAGCGAACAAGUACCGKGRGGGAAAGAUGAAAAGCACUUUGGAAAGAGAGUUAAACAGUACGUGAAAUUGUUGAAAGGGAAACGCUUGAAGUCAGUCGCGUUAGUUGAGACUCAGCCUUGCUUUUGCUUGGUGCAUUUCUUAGCUGACGGGUCAACAUCAAUUUUGAUCGUKGGAAAAAGGCCAGGGGAAUGUGGCACCUUCGGGUGUGUUAUAGCCCUUGGUUGUAUACAACGGUUGGGAUUGAGGACCGCAGUGCGCCUUUAUGGUCGGGGUUMGCCCUCGUUCGCACUUAGGAUGUUGGCAUAAUGGCUUUAAGCGACCCGUCUUGAAACACGGACCAAGGAGUCUAACAUGCCUGCGAGUGUUUGGGUGUAAAACCCGAGCGCGUAAUGAAAGUGAAAGUUGAGACCCCUGUCGUGGGGGGCAUCGACGCCCGGACCUGAAGUUUACGGAAGGAUCUGCGGUUGAGCAUGUAUGUUGGGACCCGAAAGAUGGUGAACUAUGCCUGAAUAGGGCGAAGCCAGAGGAAACUCUGGUGGAGGCUCGUAGCGAUUCUGACGUGCAAAUCGAUCGUCAAAUUUGGGUAUAGGGGCGAAAGACUAAUCGAACCAUUGAUAAUGCUACUUGGUGGUUAAGAGGCAGUUAAAGUACUGUCUAGUGAGU